UAUUUAAAAUGUUUAUGUGCAGCUUUCAUCAAAAGUAUUCGGGAGAACAAAGGUGGAAUCCAGAAACUGAGACGAAAUGUUCCUAACCUUGCAGAUAAACAGAUAUUAUCAAAAGCAGUUGACUUUGAUUUAGAUGAAUAUCCAAACAGAGAGAAAGACUGUGUGGUUUGCAUGGAUGAAGAAAGAAACUGUGUUUUACAUCCUUGCCAUCAUAUGUGCACUUGCACAACCUGUGGUCGCUUACUUCUCAAACGUCAAGAUGCAUGCCCGAUUUGUCGAAAACAUAUUUCAUCUAUAUUCCGUGUUUUUCACUCUUGAUAAAAUUACAUCUUCAUUCAAAGCAAUUAUAUUGAUUUUGCUAUGGGAAGAUAGAUUUAAGUAUUAUUGAUUAGCCAUCAAAAUGUACAUUUGUAUUUAGAAAUAUUAAUACUUUUGUUUUAAAUUUUGCUUUAUUCAUAAUGAAAAAGAAGUUUAAAAAUUAUAUACAUACCAAAAAUGAAUAUUGUUUUUAUGUUAAAUGUUUUAAUUGUUAAAUUUGUUAAACAUUGUAUAAUUGGUGUGAAAAUAUUUCAUAAGGCACUUACUUCUUAAAAAAUGCAUGUGUUAUUUAAAGUUAUUAUAAAACUCACAGUAGCUAAAUUUGGUAAAUCUUUUAAAUCUAUUAAAACUAAAUUCCUUGAAAUUUAUUAAAAUGUAAAUUAAAGGAUGUAAUUAUUAAAAUGUAAAUUCCUUGAAAUUUAUUAAAAUGUAAAUUAAAGGAUGUAAUGAACUUGGAGUUACAUCAUGGUAAAGAUGUGCUCAAGUGAAUUGGUAGGGAUGAAAAAGGAAAAAGAGAAAUUGGAUCAUUUGUAAUACUUUAAUUUACCUUUAUGCAAAUGUUUUUCCUUUGUCUGGUUCAUAUAUGUAGUUAGUUCUGUUUGUCACAUCCAAGAUUGCUUUUAUGGACCAUUUUUGCUAUAGAUAGUCUUCCGAAACAGUCAUGAAAAAUUCCUAGUUAUUUAGUACUAAAUCCUAACACCUGCUGUUGCCACACAUUAUAUUGAAACUCUAAUGUGUAGCAGGCAGCUUCUCAUUUGAUCUUGAUUUGUAUAUAUUUUAUUGCUUUGGAAGUAUGAUAAAUAACUUGCCUUUUCAAAACUGAAAUAUUAGAGGGUCUUUUACAUUUUAUGACUUAGAAAAUUCCCUUCAGUGGUAUAGGAUCUAAUGCCAACAGAAGGGAUUAAAUAGUCUGAGAAGACAUAUUGUGAGCUUAUUUGAUUUUACUGAGUCAAAUUUAUUCUGAGAAGAUACUUCAUCAAAUAGAGAUUUUUGAGUCAUCUAGCUGAAUGCCAAACCCAGGGAAAGGCUAAAGCACCUACCUGCAAUGACAAGUCUUCUUUGACAUUUUUUCAGAUACAGAAUGCAGGUUCAAUAACUAUGGUAGAUUGAAGUAAUGCAGACUUGAAGCCAUUUGCUGCAUGAAGAGAAAGGCACUAAUAAUAGCAUUCUGUUCUUACAGUCUGAACUGUUAUCUGGGAAAAUAUUACAUGGGUCUUCAAAACAAUUUAAAUGUUCAGAUUUAUAAAUGUAAAUGCUGUAUAGCAUACUGGUGUUAGCAUAUCAGAAAACUUCCACUAUAUUUCACAACAAUAAAAUAGAAGAAUAUGUUAUUAAAAAAAAAGUAAAGCAAUGAAUGUUAAAAAGAUUAAUAUGAAUGUUACAAUAAUUCUGAAUUUGUUAUUUACUGCUUUUGAAGUUGGAUUGUGGGUCACUAAGCAUUAAUAAAUAUUUACAUAAUUUCAAUUUAGAACUUUAUUAAAACCGUGAUUUUUAUCAAACUAGACCAUAGUGUGGUGAGAAUAUUUAUGAUAUGUUGGGCCAAAUAAUAUGUGAAUGAAAUAGAAAAGUGAAUAUAAGGAAAAGAAAGAGAAGCAUUUUCAUAACUUCUUUUGCAUUAUUUAUGCAAAUUUCAUUUUUGCAUUGAGAAAGUAUUCCGAAUGGCAUUAAAAUGUUUAUAACUCUGUGAGAAACUUCUGGGUAUUCUUCAUGAAUCUGCAAGCAAAAAUUUAGGAGCUGCUGUUGUUUAAAUUUAGAUUUUAACCUCGAAUCUUUUAAUAUGUGAAUAAGUUGUUCCCUUUCCUUCAUCGGCAAGCCUUCUGAUUUAUCAUAGUACUCGAAUGGACCUUUCAAGCCUUCUCAUUUAUCGUAGUACUCGAAUAGAUUUUUUUAUCUAGUCAUAUUUAAUUUUUCUUCUGAGAAAUUUUCUCUUAUAGUUUUCUUCAAUUGAAGAAGGUUAUGUAAUUUUUAACACUGUCAUCUAAAUUCAAUUUAUUUUACAUUAGAAAACUUCUUUGAUUUGCAAAGCAUUGCACGACAUUCUCUUUGGCUGCAUAUUUAGUUUUAAAUCCAACUCAAUUAAUGUUUUCUUUAAUUUUUAUAAUAGGUACAUUCAGUGCUUGAAGGGAUAUAUUUAUUUCAUUUAGAAUGAUGAACAUGUCUACUUAAUAAGACAAACAUUGUAAACAUAUUUCAUCACAUAAUUUUUUAGCAUAAUUUUUUAGCAUGACUUUUUUUUUGUUUAAAAAAAAAUUGGAAUUGUAGCAGGAUCUGCAAAACAAAAGCAUAUUUAGUACUUGCCUUCUACACUGGCUUUAGCCCAAGAAAGUGGCAUAGGCUUAAAAAAAGUCUUCAGGCUUAAGAAAGUGCGAUUUGAAAAUUAGACAAAACAGCAAACUUAUUUGGCUUAUUUUGAACAUCAUAAAAAGGAAAUUUGUCUAGUUAAUGGAAUUGUAAAAAAAAAUAUGGAGAAGUGAAUAAAUGAAGAUGAUGUAAUAGAAGUUUUCCAUUGCAAUCACUGCAUCAAUCAGCAAUCAACAAAUAAACGGCGAAAUCUGUAGUAAUCCAAGAAAUAUCUCUUACGAUUGUGAUGAAAGUGACAUUUUUGAAAAUGAAGAUUUCAGUUGGCAGUAUUGUGGGAAUUUUUGACACUGCAGUUGCAGGGUAUGAAUUGUGGAACUAAACAAAAUAUUAUAUCUGUGUAUAAAAUUUAAGAGAAAAUAUUGGUACAAAAAAAAUCAAGCAUUUUAAACACCUUACUUAGACAUAAAUAAAUAAUAAAGCAAAAGAUACAGCCUUUUUUCCAUUAAUUAUCAUAAAUGUUUCAUUUUUUUGUAAACAAAUAUUUCAUAUUUUUAAUUUUAUAUUUUCUAUAUAUCAUCUUAUUAGAUUUAAUGAACUACUGAUUUAAAAUAAGGAAUCGCCGAAGUUUUGAUGAGUCUAAGUUUCAGACUUUGUACUGUAUGAAAUGAUUACUAGCACACAGUGCUGUAAAUUAUUGCAUAAUUUUCUUUACUAAAUUUUGUUGAAUUAUUACUGUAUAAGAUUCAGGUAUCAUAAACCAUAUAAAUUUUGAUUGAAUGAACAAGCUAAAUUCAGAUAGACUUCUACUUUGAAUAAAAAAAAUUUUAUGUGCGGAUUUUAAACUAUUGUUAUAAUAACUGAUAUAAGUUUCAAACUCCUUUAAUACAUUUCAGGAAUAUUAUAAAUAUCCAUUUUCAAUAUUAAUAUAUUGCACAAAAAUAAUUUGUUCUUGUUUGAUGUAAUUUUUACCCAAAUGAUUAAAAUUUAAGAAAUAAAUUUUGUAGAAAGUUAUCAAAUUAUAUAAGCAUCUACAUGACAUUUUCCAUUUGUAAUUUAGAUUUUUAGUUCCAUAUUUUUUAUGUUAUUGAGUUUGAACAAAUAUGUGUAAUUAAUAUGACUAGCUGUGGAAACUAAAACAGUAAAAUAUAAGAACUAUAAGCCACAUUUGUUCUACCCCCCAAGACAGACUUGCCAGUUUGAAAGCCAUCAUCAGUAGCUUAGAACACUUUUAAUAAUUUAAGUAACACCAAAAGGCCACAUUAAAUACCAAAAUAAUAGUGUAAAAUAUGCAUGUCUGUAUGUUGUAUUAGGGUUCAGAGCUUCUGAUGACACUUUCCAAAUUGACAAGUCUCUCUAUCUUGGGACGGUGUUUUUUCCAGAGCACUGUAAAAAAACUUGACUCAUAAGAAACGGGUAAAAGAAAAGAAAACGUUGAAGUUUAAUUUUUUUUUGGCAUGAUUUUACAUGACAACAAUGUGAUAGUAAGGGUAACUUCACUGUAAAAAAUACCAAAUAUAUUGUAAAAUGUACAUUUAAUUUUUAAAUAAAUGCUAUUGAAAAGAAGAA